UGCCCCAUGGCUGAGUUGGUUACAGCGUCCGACUGUUAUCUCUGAGGUAACGUUAUCGGAAGGUCGUGAGUUCGAGCCUCACUGGGGCAG